GAUCAACGCUGGCGGCGUGCCUCAGACAUGCAAGUCGAACGAUUAAGACUUCCUUCGGGAAGUGCAUAAAGUGGCGCACGGGUGAGUAACACGUAAGUAAUCUACCCUCGAGUGGGGAAUAACGUUCGGAAACGAACGCUAAUACCGCAUAAUGCAGCGGCAUCGCAAGAUGACAGUUGUUAAAGGAGUAAUUCGCUUGAGGAGGAGCUUGCGGCAGAUUAGCUAGUUGGUAAGGUAACGGCUUACCAAGGCUACGAUCUGUAUCCGGUCUAAGAGGACGGUCGGACACACUGACACUGAAUGACGGGUCAGACUCCUACGGGAGGCAGCAGUCGGGAAUUUUGGGCAAUGGGCGAAAGCCUGACCCAGCAACGCCGCGUGAAGGAUGAAGUAUUUCGGUAUGUAAACUUCGAAAGAAUGGGAAGAAUAAAUGACGGUACCAUUUAUAAGCUCCGGCUAACUACGUGCCAGCCGCCGCGGUAAUAC
rnacentral:rRNA from 1 species